rnacentral:lncRNA from 1 species
AACUACUGCCAUGUGAUCUAUGAUCGUCAACCUGCAUUGAGGCUAACGCCAUGAUUGAAGUGUCACCUAUGAGUGGACAUUGUCGCAUCCUGAGUUCAAGAAUUGGAACACGACUUUUAGCCAGCGAGAAUAUUCCAUUAUCAGAUAGGUUAGGAAGAUUAGAUAGGUCCAAUUCUUGCAACUCCUGUUUGGAAGAGGGAUCAAAUAGAGCAGAGAUGCAUUUAUCCGUAAGCCUUUUGCACCCUCUAAUGGACAAUGAAACUAGUGAGCCUAUCACUCCCUCUCUCAAGUAUGACAAACCCGCAUCUGUAAUAUCAGACCCAUCCAAUAGUAAAAUCUUCAAUUUAUGAAGAGUGCUGAUGGCUUGGAGGGCUUCAUCCCCAAGGUUUCUGCAGUCUCUCAAGUCAAGAACCCUAAGAUCCAAGUUGGAUGCCAAACUUAUGACUGCCUGGUUUCUCAAAAGAUUACACCAUCUCAAGCUGACAUGUGUCAAAGAAAGGGAUGUUGCUGAAAUAUCAAGAAAAACCAGAUUAGUCAAUAGCAUUCCAUGAGACACCCUAAGCUUGUAUAAGGUCGAGCACGAGUGCAGGAUUGUUUUGAAACCAGAAUCUGUUACUCGACAAAAGCCACCAAGACAUAUACUUUCCAUACUAGAGCAUCUGUCGGCCAUUAGGAGGAUUCCUAGAUCGUUAACUCGUUUGAAGUAUGUAAUUAGGAACUCCUGGCUACGAACCAAGGAGAGGUGUUUCAACUUCCCACGUUGAUUAAUCUGUUGAAAACCGGAGUUUGUGAGGUCAAAUGUGACUCUUGGUUCAAUGAUGGGUGCAUCUCGAAGAUCCAGAUGAGUUAAGUUGAUGAGACAUUUAGAUACUGUCUCAACCAUAGUGUCAGUAAUAUAAUCCACUGAGAGGCACAAUCUCUGAAGACUCGGCAAUAUGGAUGGCUGGAGAUGAUUUGGGGGCUGAUGGGGUCCCACAUUAGGGCUGAGCAGUUCAGUCACCAUAACUGAAGAAACAUAGCCAAUCUCAAGACUUGUGAGAUUCUCUGAAGCCAAAGACCAGGCUCGAGCAAAAUUAUAACGAGGAAAUAGUGAAAUAUCGAACAUCAGGCUUAGUGUCUACAAAAAAGAAAUUGGAAAAAUGAACAACUAGUAGAUGGAAAAAAUGCUCCAGAAAUGAAUCAAAUAAUAUAUACAUAAAUAGUAAAAAAUUUGAAACAUCUAUGAAUCAUCUAUAAUUAAGAUGAAAAUCAUGUCAAUUCAAAGGAGAAAUAAUCAAUCAACUUAACCAUUUAGAGUGCGAAUAGGGGUGCAAAUUGAACAGGUCUUCCUAAGCUCCAGCUGGAAACAGACAGAGCUGUACCUAGUUCACACUGGGCUGAGAAGCAGGCCUUACUGAGCCUCAGUUCAGGAACAGCCUGCCCCUACAGGUCUUGUAUUGAUAUUACAUUGCAGGCAAAUUUUGGUUCUCAAUGUCAAGAUCUAAAGUCCAACUUCCCCCCCCACCCCCCCCGGAUAAAUAAAUAAGAAAAUAUAAUAAAAGGAAGUUAUACACCAAGGUACACAGGAUGUAAACUAUGGGUACCAGAAGAUGUUGCCUUAAAGAGAGAGAACACAAAAAAGAACUACUCCUUCCCUCAGCUAGGUCCAACUGCUAAGUAGUGUCUUCCAUUAAACUGUUUGUGUCCCAUUUUGUGCACAACAUGCGCACCUAGGAUGAGUGCUGGAUGAGCACAAAUGACAAAAUAAGCCCAGCUGCAGAUGGAACUAUGAACAUGCCUGAUGGAUUGGUGGCCUAUGAGUCAAUUUAUGCAGAGGCAGAUGUUACUCUUUGUCCACAUGGCCAUUGCAGCAUUGUGCUCCAAAUUACCUCCCAUGCCAAGGCAUGGUAGCACUUUUAUGGAUGCCCACUCUUCUAGUAGAUGUUUAAACUCCUUGAAUGGCUGCAACACAUGCAUAGGAGGUGUAGUGAGGUAGGUAGAGAUCGACUGCAUGCCACAACCAUUUCAGUUAAAUUGAAAGGAAGGGACAAUUCAUCAUGGUCCUCAGAAACAUCAUCUGAAUGCAAUGACAUGCUGAUGGAGCAGUUGAUCAACACCCUAGUUGAAUCCCUUACAGGCUUACUCUCCUAAACUCACUAGACCUAUCUACACUUGUGCCUCUUGUAGGGGUCAUAAUUGAUUUUGAGCCUGUAAGAUUCCUUUCAUAGAGUGGCUUAGUGAGAGCAAAACCCAUCUUUGGUUCUAGGUCUACCCAGCUAGCUAGGCACCCUGCAUAAGCUUAGCCUAGGGCAAAGCUUAAACUUUUUCAUUGAUUAGGCUUGUGAUCCAUCUAGUUGGCACUGUCUAAGUCCUUAUAUAAAGACCCAACGGGUGAAUAUGGCAAGGGAUUAAAACAUUUUCAAGUCUCAAGCCCAAGUUAAGAUACACUCUUAAGUUUGCUUCCACCUUCUCUAACCCCCUCCCACCUUGUUACCUAUUUUGUUCGCUCCUCAAGCUUGAACAUCUUACAUCCACAUUGCUAAAUCUCCUCCAACAAGAACUACAACAAACAUGUACAAAAUAAAUAACUUAGUAAAGAUAAUCCAUUAUGCCCAAUCUCCAAUACUUUUUCAUUGAUUAGGCUUGUGAUCCAUCUAGUUGGCACUGUCGAAGUCCUUAUAUAAAGACCCAACGGGUGAAUAUGGCAAGGGAUUAAAACAUUUUCAAGUCUCAAGCCCAAGUUAAGAUACACUCCUAAGUUUGCUUCCACCUUCUCUAACCCCCUCCCACCUUGUUACCUAUUUUGUUCGCUCCUCAAGCUUGAACAUCUUACAUCCACAUUGCUAAAUCUCCUCCAACAAGAACUACAACAAACAUGUACAAAAUAAAUAACUUAGUAAAGAUAAUCCAUUAUGCCCAAUCUCCAAUACUUUCAUUCAUAAAAAACUUGAUAAUUGCUAACUUCAUAAAAAGGUCUUGAGCUCAAAUCAAGCUUAAGAAUGAUAAUUUCAUGUUUGGUAGAUUGUGUUCUUGUUGUGUCAAACUUAGACACCUUGACUAAGUCAAUCCAAACAUGACAUGNNNNNNNNGACUCAAUUAACUUAUUUAUUCAUAAUCAAAUUUUAAAUAAGCCAAAUUUGAGUAAAGUAGGUUAUAGUUAUAAUCAAGCCAAUAAACACAAUUAUUGAACAUUUCAAUUUAGGUUAAAUUUGUGUUGUGCAAGUUGACAAAAAAAAAACCUAUUUAUCAAAUAGGCGAUGUAAGUUGACAUGAAUUUGACCCAAACAAGAUUAUACUUAACCUAAAUUUGCAAAAAAAGUGUCGGAUUUGAGUCGUGUUGAUGAAUAGUAUCAAACUUUGCACCUUGCUUGAGCUAAGCAAGAACUACAGAAGACCUCAGUAUACCUCUCCCCAAACAAUAUAUACAUGCCAAUAGUUUUCUUGUCAAAGGAGUUGAGUUUUUGAUGGAGGUUGUGUUAAUGCCAAGUUAUAAACAAAUUAAAAAGGUUAGAAAUGUGUCUUUAAUAUAUAAAAUUACUGCAGCAUGAUUUAGGAGAACUGGGAAUUAGUUUUCAUGAUUAUUGUGUUUUACAAACUAUGUCUUGCACUUAUCUUAUGUCAAUAUUCACACUUUUUCUAGUCACGCAUUAUCAUCUUAGUUCAAUUCAUGUCUGUUGUCUUGCGGAUUUUUUCAAGAAAGGAAAAUUUUAUCAGAAAAAGGUAAAAUGUUUAGUUUCCUGCAUAUCGCAUGGUUUGCAUGUGUUAUUGUGCUUCCUUAUGGCACCAUUUGAUAAAAUUGGGAUGUUAAAUAUCUAACACUACCUUGAAGUUGCCCAUGACAAAAAUAAAUGAAACAUCCCAUCACCAUCAAAACUUUCUUCCAUCAAAUAUCCAUUCAAACUGCUAAGAAAAUAAUUCAGGAUGGGAGAGAAAUGUCUUAACAAAAGAAUGAAGAUUGUCCCUGUUUUUCAUUUUUUGUAAAGGUAAUAGAAUCAUACUAUUGUUAGAUACUCAAAGAAAGGGUAUCAUUAGGUUUAGGAAAACUUGUUCAAAGGACUGGAAUACUAAUUAUACUAAAUUCUACAUAUAUUAGUGUUGCCAAUACUUUAAAAUAAAAUUAAGAACUAAACAACAAAAGACAACACUAUCUCAUGACAGGCAAAGCAAGGCUCACUAAUCAUGCUAGUGCCAUCAUCACUGAUAAAUUAAUAUGUUAAUCACCCACUCUAGGCCUCACUGGGGCAGAAUGAUACCUAAGCAACCAAUUGAGCGAAUUGAUAGCAUUAACAAAGGUUAACAACUUCAUUGUAAAACAUAAUAAACAUUCAAUUGAGCACAUACUCAAACUAACUUGCAUAUCCAUAGAAUGCAACCACAACAAGUGUUACAGUUGUGCCAAAGUGUUCUUGUCUAUCCCAAUGCGUGGGUGUCUCCAAAACCAAAUAAAAAAUAAAAAAAUAGAAAUAAUAAAAAUGAUAGAUAGCAAUUAAGCAGCUCUAACAAUUAAUUUGAAGAAUUAGCAUUGGCACAAAAUGGUCAAUGUAAAUGAGGAAAGCAACCUGAAUAUGUUGUAAUCUCUCCAAAAUAUUAAUUAUAAGGCUUAAUUUAUGGUGAUGCAACAAUGAGGACAAAAUGCAGUAGUCAUCAAACUCAUUCUUUCACUACUAAAUAUUAAGUAAAAAAUUUUACUUAUGUAAAUAUCAUUCCUUUAUCAUAAUUCUCAUUCAAGCAUUAUUAGACGCCAUUCUAUCUUUUAAGUAAAAAAUUUUACUUACGUCAAUAUCAUUCCUUUAUCAUAAUUCUCAUUCAAGCAUUAUUAGAUGCCAUUCUAUCUUUUAAGUAAAUAACCAACAAUCAAGGAGAGGUUUCUUAUCAUGACCUUUAACAUAGAGAGAAUAAUGGUUGAGAAGUAGUUCAUAAUGAAAUAUACUUGGAGAAAAGUAACAAGAUAUACCCCACAAAAGGUAAUGUCAAGCCUCCCAACACUCUUGGGGCUUACUUGACAACAUUUGUUUUAAGAAAUGCUCAAUUCAAAUAUGGGGAGUUCAUUGUAAUCAACAUAUCCUAGCACUCUUAAGAAUUCCCAAAAGAAUGAACUAUAAAAGAUGGCCCCAAAAUUGAUUAACUUAAAUCCCUCAGAGAACAUUGCCUAACAUGAUCAUGUUUAUUUAUUCUUUGAUGUUAGGGUACCAAUCUUGAAAUUGAACCUUACUUUUAACUCAGUGCAACCACAGAGUAACUCCUCAAGGUUAGAAAUAUGGACUGCUCGUCCUCUUUUCUCAGCCACACAACCCAAGUAGAGAGACCUGGAGAGAAGUAAGUGGACAAUGCUAAUAACUUGUUGCUUGAAAUAGGUAAGAACUAAAGAUUAAACUAUUGCUAAUUUAGACCAAACUAUUACUAGUUUAGAACUAGUAAACAGAUUUAUACUGAUGAAAACAUCAAUCCACACUAGAUUCUUAAGCACCAAAACAAGAGAAGAAAAGGCAAACCUUAAAUCCUUGCAUUGACCUCCAAUCAGAGAAAGCAGCCUCCCACUAAAAUCAGCACAAUUGAGGAGAGAAAUCUCAUGCAAAGAUGGCCGAACCAGAUGUUCAAUUGAUGAAUCAUCAAGUUUACUGCAAUCAACUUUCAAACUCCUAAGAUAAGGAUUUGGUGGCAGCAAAGGCCUCAGCAAGUUGAUUGAGAGUGCAACAUCCUGAAUUGAAAAUACCCAAAAAAAUUAUAAAAAAAAUGAACACAUCAAAUCUAAGAACAGUUAGCUACCAAGAAACUCAACUGAAUGGGGGAAAAAGAGAAAGAAUAUAAAUUUUAGAAUUUCGAAUUUGAGAAUCUUAUAAUCUUCAACAUUUGAAGAACCGCUAAAGAAUUAAAACAAAAACAUCAAACUCAUGCUCACUUUGGUUGAGCCGAAACUGAAGGCAAACAAAAACAAUCAAAAUUAACGAUCAUGAAAAUCGGGAUAUUAAAAUUCGAUCCCGAUAUGGAAUUCGAACUCAAUAGAAUUCGAAAUUCAUGCUACCGCGGUGGAGAUUUUAUACAUUUUGGAUCUACAAAUCUAAACAAGGAUCCUAUUCCGAACCCUCCUUUCGAGGCAGACGAUAAAACAAAGAAAAAUCAACCUAAAAUCAAACAACCAGUGGCUUCUCUAAGUUGAAAUUUCAAAAAAAAAUUUAUCGACAAAAACAACAAGGACAAAUUAAUAAACAGAAUAAAACUCAAACUUCUGCUUUCGUUUCGUGUUUUUAGCUUCUAGUUUUUUCCCCCCUCGAAAUCCAAACAAAGAACCAGGGUUUGAAAGAGAUUUGACUCACGAGGAGAUGGAAAUUGGGGAGGAAGUGGAAGAUUUGAGAAGCGCAUGAGCGGAUGGUAGUGCACGUGGACGCUAGGGAGCGAAUCGAGGAGACGUCGAGCUUCGUCAUGAUCGUUGCCAGCAGUGCCGCCGGCAACUGCUCCAGAGCCCCUCCGGCGGCUUCGCUAUUCGCCAUUCUCUCUCUCCCGAUCUCUCGAUCUCAAUCCCGAUCGAUGUUUCAGGCGGAUAUGUGUUCCGCUGUGGAAGGGGCCAGGGUCAGUUUUGUAGGUCCAUGUGAAACCGUGACACGCCAGCAUAAAGGGUGAUUGGACUUAGGGUGCGUUUGCCAAAGCCAAAUUAAGGGGGAAAUGGAUUUUAGCACGGGCAAUUGCCUUUGUUAUAAAAAUUAAUUUAUUAAAUACAUAACCUUCGUUUUGUUUACGGAUAAAAGUAUAUUUGUGAUCUCAAUUUUACUUUUUUAAUCUGAUAAAAGACUCUUAUUAAAGUUCAUAAAUCUUGUCCUAACACACUUCCCCAAACUUAUUCAAUAGUUGUAAUUUUUUCAUGGUAAUAUCUAUUAUCACAAAAGUGUGAAAGAAAAAAAAAAAAAAAUGUUAUCCGAAUGGAGUGGCGAACCAAUUGGAUACACAUCAGACAGAAGUAUCGAUGGUAAAGCCUCUUUCCGCGGCGAAGUCCACAAAGCUGUAAAGCGGAACGACGCUGUCGCCAUACUUGUCGAAUCCACUCAACUCUCUCUUCGCCUUGGCUCGAAGCUCCUCCGCCACUUCCAUGGCCUUCUCCAUACCGUACACGUCCACAUAGCUCUUCCCUUUCUUUUUCUUCUCUUCGUCUUCCUCACUCUUCGUCUUCGCUUUCAGCACAUCGUCCACCACCUGGUACAACAUCCCGACAGCUCGGCCGUAUCUCCUAAGGCGUAGGAUAUCAUCGUCGGCGGCGCCGCCCAGGAACCCGCCACAAACAGCGGAGCACUCAGCCAUCUCGCCGAACUUCUUGCGCUGGACGAAGUCGACGGAGUUGGGGGCGCCCUCGAGGUCGAGGAACUGGCCGGCGGCCAUGCCGGUGGAGCCGACGGAGCGGGCGAUUUCCGCGAUGACGCGGAUGAGCUGGCCCUCUGGGACGAGGUGGGAAGGGGUGUGGGAGACGAUGUGGCGGAAUCCGAGGGGGAAGAGGGCGUCGCCGGCGAGAAUGGCCAUGUCGACGCCGUAGACGGUGUGGUUCGAGGGCUGGCCCCGCCGGGAGGGGUCAUCGUCCAUGCAGGGAAGGUCGUCGUGAAUCAGUGAAGCCGCGUGAACCUGUUAACAAAAAUAUCCAAACUUUAAUACAGAAUCUAUAGUGCAGAAGGGAAAGAAAAUGACAAAUAGAACGGAAGAAAAUAAAAUUAUGGCUUUUUCCUAUGCUAAUCCCUUGAAUUAUUUCACAAGAAGUAGUUUCAUGGGUCGAUUUGCCAUUGCCUUUGACUGAGAAUGAAAUGCAUUUUGAAUUCACAAACCAUUCUUCUUUCAUGAGUAACUUGUUUCUAAAAUUAGCCAUUAAUUCAAACUACCUAUAAGUUUCUCAGACACCAAACAUUCCUUUAAGCUGACUUCACAGACAACCAAGUUUGGUGGGGGGAUCCUCUGUAGACAAAACAAUUUGAUUUAUGACCUUUUUCUUUCAUGAGUAAUUUGUUUCUGAAAUUAUUCAAACUACCUGUAAGUUUCUCAGACGCCCAAACAUUCCCUUAAGCUGACUUCACAAACAACCAAACUUGGCGCCGAAUCACAUCCCUAAUAAUCAUUUUAGUAACCAAUUCCAUGUUUCUUAAAAUAUAGUUUGUGACAUUUUUGUUAAAUUAACGUAUCAUACUCUAUAAGCUCUCAGCUUCCUCAACCGUAUACAUAGAAAAUUUCAAAUUUCUACCAAAAAUUCACUUAAUCGUUGUCUCUUAAGCUAUAGAUUCUACCGUUUUUCUUAAAUUAACAUAUCAUCCUCUCUGAACUUUCAGCUUCCUCAACCAUAACAAAAGAAAAUUUCAAAUUUCUACCAAAACUUCACUUAAUUCCAACUUUCUGAAACUACAGGUUGUAACAUUUUUCUUAAAUUAACAAGCCAUCCUACAUGAACUUUCUGCUUCCACAAUAUUAUCACAGAAAAAGAAAAGUAGAAAGCUGAUUCGCAGGCAAAAACGUGAAACACAAGAGUCAAAAUCAAAACGAGAAAAGCGUGACAACUGACAUGAGCGAGUGAGAUUAGGGUUUGUUUUGGCCGUACCAUUUCUAGGGCACAGGCGGUCGGAAAGGCAGCAAGGCGGUCGCCGCCGAAAAGCUCACAGACGGCGACGCACAUCACCGGGGGAGCUCGCUUCCCGCCUUUUGCUAGCACGGAGUAGCGCAUGGCUUCGUAGAUCUGUUGCGGAUACUUCACCGGAAUGGCUUCCUCGAGCUUGGUGUUGAUCUCUGAAAUCAGGGUGGUCCAGUAGGAACGGAGAUCGAACUGCAUUGAUUUUGACGGUGAGACUGAAAUUGAAGGAGAAGUGCAUCGAAUUGUGCGUGGUAGGUUCAGAGAAGAUCGGUUCGGAAGGCGGUGGUGGAGGCGGGCAGCGGAGGGCAGCGAUAGAGCGGUUGUGAACGCCAUGGCAGACCGCCCCUCUCUCUCUCUCUCUCUCUCUAUCUAUUCUCUGACCAACUGAGUGGGACUGCGAGGACGCUUUGCUCGGCCUGUUUUUGUCUAUGAAUGGGAUCCACGUGGCACAAUUUUCCAGCAUUCUGGCCCUUUUCACCAGUGGACUUGAAGAAAAUUACGGCAUGGUUUCAAAAUGGAAAUAGCAUAAAUUAAAUUUAAAUUAAGAUAAAAUUGAAGAAAUUUAAUUGGAAUUUUACAACUUGUGUGAGGGAUGGAUGAAUAUCGGAAAAAAAAAAAAUCAAUUUUGCUAACAAUACCUUUUCACGCAAUUCUUUUGCAACUUGGAUAGAUUGAUCGAGUUGAUGAGUAAUCUAAACCCAAUUUGAAUUAAGAAAUAAUCACCCCGAAAUACUCUAGUCAAGCUCAAUCUAACUUUAUAUUUCUAAACUCAAGUUGAGUUCGGAUUACUUAAAUUAAACUUUAGUUAUUGAGCGAGUUUGUUAGGUUGUAUAAUUCAAAAUCUAUUUAUAAUAUUAUUUUAAUGUAUUUAUAUAUGAAAAAUUAAAUAACAAAUAUAACACAAUUUCAAGAAAAUGAGAGAAGAAAAAACAUAAAUUUAUAUAUUUUCUAAAAAAAAUAAAAAACAUAUGAUAUAAUUUUAUUUUUUUCUUACAAAUAGAAAAUAAAAUAAAUAUGAUUAUAUAUGAUAAAAUGUAUUAUAAAUAUUAUGAAAAUAUUAAAUAAGUUUGAGUAGGUGCAAGUUAGCUAACCUUAGCCCAAGUCCCAUCCAAAUUGAACUUGGAUUGAAAAAAUCUAACUCAAAUUAUUUAUAUUAUUUAAAAUCAGUUUUCUUUCUAAAUAAAUGGGUAGAUUUUUAAUGUGCAUUAUUUAUAUAGAUUUAUCAUUAUUUUAUUUUGAUGAUUAGUAGUAAAUCAGAUCUUGACAUAAAUUCAAAAUUAAAUUACUCAUAAAAACAAUAAAGAAUUGUAAAGAAAAACUUAUAAAAUAAUUUUGACAACAAUUUUUAAAAAAUAAUUCUUAAUUAUUGUCAGGCAACUUAAAUAUCGAUAAAGGUAUUUUAUACUCACUUGGUGUUUUUUUAAUUAAAUAGAAUUUAAUUUAAUUUAAUUUUAAAUAAAAUUUAAUAGUAUUGAGUAUUAAAUUGUUUGUUAUUUUAUUAUUAAUUUCUAUUAAGUAUUAAUGGGACAAAAGUUGUGUUGAAAUUGUUUUAAAAUUCUAAUUUUUGCAUUAAGAAAAAAUUCAAAAAUUUUGUUUUUUUUUUCUAUUAAGCACAAAAAAUUUUAAACAUAAAAAUUAAAAACAAACGAUUUAAAGUCUAAAUGUAAAUUGUAUUUGAUAUUAAGUUAAAAAAACAAACAACAUCUUAGUAAAUUUUUUUAAGGUAUUUUCAAUUAUUUAUUAGAACACUUUAAAAAAACAAAUGAAAUUACCUUAAAUUUACUUUUAAAAAAUUACAUAUUUUGAUAAUAAAUUCUUAAAAAUAUGUUUUAUAUGAAAAGUUUCGAUAUAUCUAACUAUCUAAGUUGGGGUGAUUUAAUAGAAUUUAAUAUUUAUUAUAUAAUGAUUUAAAUUGACUUUAAGUUAAAUUAUUUUUAGGUUCUUGACCUAAAAUUUAUUACUUAAUUUUUAUUUUAAGUAUUAAGGUUUUUUUUUUUUAAUAAAAUUAAUUUAAAAUUUAUUCGUAAUCAUAAAAUUGAUAUAUUUAUACUUAUAAAUUAUAAUCAAGACAAAGGAGAUUGAGUAAUAAAGGUUCUAAAGUAACAAAAGAAAUCAUGAAGGUAAUUAGGGAAAAUUGAGAUAAAAAUAUAAAAUAAAAAUCUGGACUUAAGAAUAAGUUAAUUGUUUUUAUUUAUUACUUAAAUUUAUUUUUAAUUUUGAGUUAUACUGUUAAUUAUUUUACUAAACAUAUUUAACUUAUUUAAUAACUUAAAUUAAGUUAUUAAGUCAUUUUAAGUUAUUAAGUUGGUGUACCAAAUAUUAAACUAGUAUCUGUUUUUAGCUUUUUGUUUAUAAUUUUAAAACACAAAAAAUAAUAAUAAUUUUUAUACAAAGUACAAAAUUUUUUUAAAAACUCAUCUCGAAAACAUAAUGAUUUUUUAAAAUUGAUUAAAAAAUAUUGAGAUAUUAAAAAAUGUUUAUUACCUCACAUUAAAAAAAUUUUGAAAGUAAUUUUUAAGGACUUAAAGAAAAGUACAAACCGUACACUUAUACAAAAAAUUUCAUUUUUAAAUAUCAAAAAUUGAAAAUACCUUCAAAUUAAGUCUUUAAAAACAAUAUUUUUAUUUAAAAAAUAAAUAAAACAAUUGUUUUCAAAAUCAAUUUCCAAACAUAAACUUAGGGGCUGGAGGCAGAAAGCUAGCAAAAUUAGCAUGAGUAGAAUUUUCACAAUAAAUUUAUAUUGAAAGUAAAAAAAACACUAGAGAUUAAAUUUAACAUUUUAAAACCAUUUUUAAACCCUAAAAAAGCUUAUAAAUGUCUAAGAAUUUUCCCAAUAAAUUUAUAGANNNNNNNNNNNNNNNNNNNNNNNNNNNNNNNNNNNNNNNNNNNNNNNNNNNNNNNNNNNNNNNNNNNNNNNNNNNNNNNNNNNNNNNNNNNNNNNNNNNNAGAAACUUUUUAAGUAAAUCUAGCAGCUGAAGACCUGGAAACCCAGACCAGCUAAUCCUGUUGGGGGUAUCGAUAAAUUUAAAGCUUGAUCAAGGAAAACAAUGCGGCAGAGAGAACAAAUUGAAAAUUUGAAUCCACAAAUAUACAAUUCUGAGUUUAUACAAGAUUUGUAACCGCAUAAGCAUGCAAAGAUCCAUGGAGGAUCAAUUGAUAAAUUUUCCAAUCAAACCUGAUGGCUCAGCAAAUCUGGAGCAGCACUGUCAGAAGGGCUUUCUGAUGGAGGUUCAAGUCAGAAAACCAAGCCGAGACUGUCUGAAGUAAAGUCUAUAAUUUAAGAGUCAAAUUUUCUACAUAAAACUAGCGAAGGAGAAGUAACAAGUAACAAAUAAAUACAUAAAAAAGUACAACAAUCUUGUCUUGGAAAUCACUCGACAAUUUCUCCAUUGUUUUCAACUUCUUCCAUCUCUUCAUCGUCACUCUCAUCCCCUCCUUCGAGCAGCCACUGUUCAAGUUCAUCCAUUUCUUCAUUAUCAUGCAUGUACAAACCAUCCCAGUGGUCAGUCCCUAGCUCCUCACCAUGGCAUGCCACAUGCAAGAAGGGUCUACUUCUAGCUAAAGCGUCUACCAUGUCUCUGUUCACGCUUCCUGUCACUCCCAACCAUCUCAGUCUGGGAAAGUAAGGGUUCUUUAACCACCGGAAAGAAAGAGAUGUAAUGCCACCACAGUUAUAAAGAUCCAACACCCGCAAACUACUGCCAUGUGAUCUAUGAUCGUCAACCUGCAUUGAGGCUAAUGCCAUGAUUGAACUGUCACCUAUGAGUGGACAUUGUCGCAUCCUGAGUUCAAGAAUUGGAACACGACUUUUAGCCAGCGAGAAUAUUCCAUUAUCAGAUAGGUUAGGAAGAUUAGAUAGGUCCAAUUCUUGCAACUCCUGUUUGGAAGAGGGAUCAAAUAGAGCAGAGAUGCAUUUAUCCGUAAGCCUUUUGCACCCUCUAAUGGACAAUGAAACUAGUGAGCCUAUCACUCCCUCUCUCAAGUAUGAC